CCUGGUUGAUCCUGCCAGUAGCUAUAUGCUUGUCUUGAAGAUUUAGCCAUGCAUGUCUAAGUAUAAGCCACUUAUACGGGUGCAACUGCAGAAGGCUCAUUAAAACAGUUAUAGUUUAUUUGAUGGUACCCUACUACACGGAUAACUGUAGUAAUCCUAGAGCUAAUCCGUGAAUAAAGUCCCGACUUUUUGAAGGGAUGUAUUUAUUAGCUCCAAAACCAAUGCGACCUUCACGGGUCGGUUUUUGGUGAUUCAUAAUAACUUUUCGGACCGCACGGACUCGAUCUGGCGGUAGGUCAUUCAAAUUUCUGCCCUAUCAGCUUUCGAUUGUAGUGUCGUGGACUACAAUGGCUGUGACGGGUGACGGAGAAUUAGGGUUCGAUUCCGGAGAGGGAGCCUGAGAAACGGCUACCACGUCUAAGGACGGCAGCAGGCGCGCAAAUUACCCAAUGAGAACAAACUCUUGAGGUAGUGAAGAUAAAUAACAAUACCGGUCGUUUCACGAUUGGUAAUUGGAAUGAGAACAAUUUAAAUCCCUUAGCGAGGAUCCAUUGGAGGGCAAGUCUGGUGCCAGCAGCCGCGGUAACACCAGCUCCAAUAGCGUAUGUUAAAGUUGUUGCAGUUAAAAAGCUCGUAGUUGGAUAUCUGGGAUGGACGCCUGGCCCGCCUCAAUGAGUGUGAGUGCCGGUGCGACCAUCCCAUCCUUCCAAUGAACAAAUUUUUCCUUCACUGGGAGAAUUUGGGAAUUGGAUCUUUUACUUUGAAAAAAUUAGAGUGUUCAAAGCAAGCAUUUGCUGUGAAUACGUUAGCAUGGAAUAAUAAAAUAGGACUUUGGUUCUAUUUUGUUGGUUUAUUGAGCCAAAGUAAUGAUUGAUAGGGAUAGUUGGGGGUGUUUGUAUUGGACGGCCAGAGGUGAAAUUCAUUGAUUCGUUCAAGACAAACUUAUGCGAAAGCAUUCACCAAGGAUGUCUUCUUUAAUCAAGAACGAAAGUUGGGGGAUCGAAGACGAUCAGAUACCGUCGUAGUCUCAACCAUAAACGAUGCCAACUAAGGAUCAGCGGUGAUGUUUAGACUCCGUUGGCACUUUCCGAGAAAUCAAAGUUUUUGGGUUCCGGGGGGAGUCUAGUCGCAAGGCCGAAACUUAAAGGAAUUGACGGAAGGGCACCACCACGGCGUGGAGCCUGCGGCUUAAUUCAACCCAACACGGGAAAACUUACCAGGUCAGGACAUAGGGAGGAUUGACAGAUUGCAGAUCUUUCUUGAUUCUAUGGUUGGUGGUGCAUGGCCGUUCUUAGUUGGUGGAGUGAUUUGUCUGGUUAAUUCCGUUAACGAACGAGACCUCAGCCUACUAAAUAGACAUGCAAACUACGGUUUGUGAUGCCUUCUUAGAGGGACUGUCGGUUUCUAACCGAAGGAAGUGUGAGGCAAUAACAGAUCUGUGAUGCCCUUAGAUGUUCUGGGCUGCACGCGCGCUACACUGUUGCAUUCAGCGAGCAUUAACCUUGGCCGGUAGGUCUGGGUAAUCUUCUAAAAUGCAACGUGCUGGGGCUAGAUCAUUGCAAUUAUUGAUCUUCAACCAGGAAUGCCUAGUAAACGCGAGUCAUCAGCUCGC
rnacentral:rRNA from 1 species